AUUAUAGCAGAUAUAGUUCGACUGCGCUGGGGUUCACGUGCUGAAACCCCCAAGUCAACUAGAAGAUCAGGUGGAAAGGGUUCUUCAAAUGAUUCGGUUAAUAGUGAGGCAUGGUUGUUUUCUGGUCAUGACCCCGAAGAAAACAGUGAUAAAACUGUGGAAAGGGAAAGAAGCAGCAUGGCGAAAGAAGUUUNGUCACCUGCAACUAAUGGAAACUUCUAGUCGAGGCCAGGGAAAAGAGUCUGACAUGAUUGGAUCAAAGAACAAAAUAAGACAACUUGAAGGAGAUACAUCAUCUUCUCCAACUAUAUUAAAAAGUGGGUCCACAACAAAAGGUAUUUCCUCUCCUGAAGAGGAAAACCUUGUUUGGAGACAAGAUGGAAAGAGUUCUCAAGGAACAAGGAGCCAAGAUGGAAAGAAUUCUCAAGUUUUCCCUCCUAGCACAGAAGUUGGGGAAGCAUCAUUUGUACCAUUGCCUUCCAGUGGCAUGAAUACUCUAAUUGUAGAAGAAAGUUAUGGUAGGGCUACAACUGACGCGACUAUUAGUGGCUCAACGGAUCUAAUGGAGCAACCUGCUAGUGCAAAGUUAACUGAAGUGUCAAGCCUUGAUGGGAAUGAUGGAGUGUUGAAACAAAGGAGACUUCAGCGGAACAAGCAAGUCUUAAGGGACAGAUUUGAUGAAUGGGAAGAAGCAUAUAUACGUGAAAGUGAGCAGCGAAAAGUUGAUGAAAUGUUUAUGAGAGAAGCACUGCUAGAAGCCAAGAAGGCUGCUGAUACUUGGGAGGUACCUGUUGGGGCUGUUCUGGUGCAAAAUGGGAAAAUUAUUGCUCGUGGCUAUAAUUUAGUGGAGGAGUUACGGGACUCCACUGCCCAUGCAGAAAUGAUUUGUAUACGAGAGGCUUCAAACCAUCUCCGGAGCUGGAGGCUUGCGGAGGCUACACUUUAUGUAACACUUGAACCAUGCCCUAUGUGUGCUGGAGCAAUACUUCAAGCAAGAAUAGACACGCUUGUGUGGGGAGCUCCCAAUAAGCUUCUUGGAGCCGAUGGAAGCUGGAUCAGACUUUUUCCUGGAGGAGAAAAUGGCUCAGAACGGACAGAUAAGCCAGCUCCUCCAGUCCAUCCUUUCCAUCCAAAAGUGACAAUCCGGCGAGGGAUAAUGGCAUCAGAGUGUGCGGAUGUGAUGCAGCAAUUCUUCCAGCUUAGGAGAAAGAAAAAGGUGAAGAGUGAAGAUUUGCCUCCCCAGCCAUCUCUUCCUAUUGCGAGUCAUCAAUCAAAAAUCCUUAGUAAGAUGCAUGAUAUUUUCCAUGCAUUCUUGUGUUUGUAAGGGAUAGUGGAAC
rnacentral:misc_RNA from 1 species